rnacentral:rRNA from 2 species
GGGUUGUGAGGUUAAGCGACUAAGCGUACACGGUGGAUGCCCUGGCAGUCAGAGGCGAUGAAGGACGUGCUAAUCUGCGAAAAGCGCCGGCGAGGUGAUAUGAACCUUUGACCCGGCGAUGUCCGAAUGGGGAAACCCAGUGUGUUCCGACACACUAUCGUUAACUGAAUACAUAGGUUAACGAGGCGAACCGGGGGAACUGAAACAUCUAAGUACCCCGAGGAAAAGAAAUCAACCGAGAUUCCCCCAGUAGCGGCGAGCGAACGGGGAGCAGCCCAGAGUCUGAAUCAGCUUGUGUGUUAGUGGAAGCGUCUGGAAAGUCGCACGGUACAGGGUGACAGUCCCGUACACGAAAGCACACAGGCUGUGAACUCGAAGAGUAGGGCGGGACACGUGGUAUCCUGUCUGAAUAUGGGGGGACCAUCCUCCAAGGCUAAAUACUCCUGACUGACCGAUAGUGAACCAGUACCGUGAGGGAAAGGCGAAAAGAACCCCGGCGAGGGGAGUGAAAAAGAACCUGAAACCGUGUACGUACAAGCAGUGGGAGCCUCUUUAUGGGGUGACUGCGUACCUUUUGUAUAAUGGGUCAGCGACUUAUAUUCUGUAGCAAGGUUAACCGUAUAGGGGAGCCGAAGGGAAACCGAGUCUUAACUGGGCGUUAAGUUGCAGGGUAUAGACCCGAAACCCGGUGAUCUAGCCAUGGGCAGGUUGAAGGUUGGGUAACACUAACUGGAGGACCGAACCGACUAAUGUUGAAAAAUUAGCGGAUGACUUGUGGCUGGGGGUGAAAGGCCAAUCAAACCGGGAGAUAGCUGGUUCUCCCCGAAAGCUAUUUAGGUAGCGCCUCGUGAACUCAUCUUCGGGGGUAGAGCACUGUUUCGGCUAGGGGGCCAUCCCGGCUUACCAACCCGAUGCAAACUACGAAUACCGAAGAAUGUUAUCACGGGAGACACACGGCGGGUGCUAACGUCCGUCGUGAAGAGGGAAACAACCCAGACCGCCAGCUAAGGUCCCAAAGUCAUGGUUAAGUGGGAAACGAUGUGGGAAGGCACAGACAGCCAGGAUGUUGGCUUAGAAGCAGCCAUCAUUUAAAGAAAGCGUAAUAGCUCACUGGUCGAGUCGGCCUGCGCGGAAGAUGUAACGGGGCUAAACCAUGCACCGAAGCUGCGGCAGCGACGCUUAUGCGUUGUUGGGUAGGGGAGCGUUCUGUAAGCCGUUGAAGGUGUCCUGUGAGGGGUGCUGGAGGUAUCAGAAGUGCGAAUGCUGACAUAAGUAACGAUAAAGCGGGUGAAAAGCCCGCUCGCCGGAAGACCAAGGGUUCCUGUCCAACGUUAAUCGGGGCAGGGUGAGUCGACCCCUAAGGCGAGGCCGAAAGGCGUAGUCGAUGGGAAACAGGUUAAUAUUCCUGUACUUGGUGUUACUGCGAAGGGGGGACGGAGAAGGCUAUGUUAGCCGGGCGACGGUUGUCCCGGUUUAAGCAUGUAGGCGGAGGUUCCAGGUAAAUCCGGUUCCUUGUUAACGCUGAGGUGUGAUGACGAGGCACUACGGUGCUGAAGUAACAAAUGCCCUGCUUCCAGGAAAAGCCUCUAAGCAUCAGGUAACACGAAAUCGUACCCCAAACCGACACAGGUGGUCAGGUAGAGAAUACCAAGGCGCUUGAGAGAACUCGGGUGAAGGAACUAGGCAAAAUGGUGCCGUAACUUCGGGAGAAGGCACGCUGAUAUGUAGGUGAAGCCCCUGCGGGUGGAGCUGAAAUCAGUCGAAGAUACCAGCUGGCUGCAACUGUUUAUUAAAAACACAGCACUGUGCAAACACGAAAGUGGACGUAUACGGUGUGACGCCUGCCCGGUGCCGGAAGGUUAAUUGAUGGGGUUAGCGGUAACGCGAAGCUCUUGAUCGAAGCCCCGGUAAACGGCGGCCGUAACUAUAACGGUCCUAAGGUAGCGAAAUUCCUUGUCGGGUAAGUUCCGACCUGCACGAAUGGCGUAAUGAUGGCCAGGCUGUCUCCACCCGAGACUCAGUGAAAUUGAACUCGCUGUGAAGAUGCAGUGUACCCGCGGCAAGACGGAAAGACCCCGUGAACCUUUACUAUAGCUUGACACUGAACACUGGUCCUUGAUGUGUAGGAUAGGUGGGAGGCUUUGAAGCGUGGACGCCAGUCUGCGUGGAGCCAACCUUGAAAUACCACCCUUUAAUGGCUGGUGUUCUAACGUAGACCCGUAAUCCGGGUUGCGGACAGUGUCUGGUGGGUAGUUUGACUGGGGCGGUCUCCUCCCAAAGAGUAACGGAGGAGCACGAAGGUUAGCUAAUCCUGGUCGGACAUCAGGAGGUUAGUGCAAUGGCAUAAGCUAGCUUGACUGCGAGAGUGACGGCUCGAGCAGGUGCGAAAGCAGGUCAUAGUGAUCCGGUGGUUCUGAAUGGAAGGGCCAUCGCUCAACGGAUAAAAGGUACUCCGGGGAUAACAGGCUGAUACCGCCCAAGAGUUCAUAUCGACGGCGGUGUUUGGCACCUCGAUGUCGGCUCAUCACAUCCUGGGGCUGAAGUAGGUCCCAAGGGUAUGGCUGUUCGCCAUUUAAAGUGGUACGCGAGCUGGGUUUAGAACGUCGUGAGACAGUUCGGUCCCUAUCUGCCGUGGGCGCUGGAGAAUUGAGGGGGGCUGCUCCUAGUACGAGAGGACCGGAGUGGACGCAUCACUGGUGUUCGGGUUGUCAUGCCAAUGGCACUGCCCGGUAGCUAAAUGCGGAAGAGAUAAGUGCUGAAAGCAUCUAAGCACGAAACUUGCCCCGAGAUGAGUUCUCCCUGAGACUUUAAGUCUCCUGAAGGAACGUUGAAGACUACGACGUUGAUAGGUCGGGUGUGUAAGCGCAGCGAUGCGUUGAGCUAACCGAUACUAAUGAACCGUGAGGCUUAACCUUACAACGCCGAAGGUGUUU